rnacentral:rRNA from 1 species
CCUGGUUGAUCUUGCCAGUAGUCAUAUGCUUGUCUCAAAUAUUAAGUGAUGCAUGUCUCAGCAUGAACUAAUUCAUACUCUGAAACUACAGAUGGCUCAUUAAAUCAGUUAUAGUUUAUUUGAUGGUACCCUACUACUCAUAUAACCGUGGUAAUUCUAGAGAUAAUACGUGCACCAAGUAUCGAAUCUUUGGAAGGGAUGAUUUUAUUAGAUAAAAGGUCGACACAAGCUUUCCUGUUUCUUUGGUGAAUCAUGAUAACUCGAUGGAUUGCACAACCCUUGUGUUGGCAAUGCUUCAUUCAAAUUUUUGUCAUAUCAACUUUCGAUGGUAAGAUAGAGGCCUACCAUGGUGGUGAUGGUUGAUGAAGAAUUAGGAUUUGAUUCCAGAGAGGGAGCCUAAGAAAUAGAUACCACAUCACAGGAAGGAAACAGGCACACAAAUUACCCAAUCUUGACAUGGGGAGGUAGUGACAAUAAAUAAAAAUAUUGGGCUCAUCAAGUUUGGUAAUUGGAAUGAGUACAAUAUAAAUCCCUUAACGAGGAUAUUUAAUGAUCUCUAAUACUGUAUUUUUAAGUUGGUGUAGUUAAAAAUAUCGUAGUUGAGUCUUGCGUCAUAAAGGUCGAUCCACCUACUCAGUGUGCACUUGCCCUUUCGUCCCUUUUGCUGGCAGCAUGGUCCUGGCCUUAAUUUGUUGGGUCACGGUUUCUACGUUGUUACUUUGAAAAAAUUAGACUGCUUAAAGAAAUCUUAUGAUCUGAAUACAUUAUCUUGGAAUAACACAAUAAGAGUAUCGUCAUAUUGUGUUGGCCUUCGGGAUUGGAGUAAUGAUUACUAAGGAUUGUCAGGGGCACUCAUAUUUCAUUUUUAGAGGUGAAAUUCUUGUAUUUAUGAAAGACGAUUGACUGCGAAAUAAUUUUCCAAGGAUGUUUUCAUUAAUCAAGAACAAAAGUUGGGGGCUAGAAGACAAUCAUAUAUUGUCCUAGUCUCAACCAUAAACGAUGUCGACCAGGGAUCGGUUGUUAGGGUCCUAACCCGCACAUAGGUAGAACAAUAUAUUCGGAUGUAAUAAAGGUCAAUAUUAAUAAGCCCUUGCAAUAAAAUAGAAUAAGUCGAAUGUAAGAAG